rnacentral:lncRNA from 1 species
CUUUUUCAAGCAAGGGUUUUGUGUUUCUCCAUAGAGUAACUCGCUGUGAUCCUUCAAUUAACAAGCACCUCUCCAAAGGGCAAGGACCUUUUGUGAUGAAGUUGGCUAAUUUUUUAAAUGUCUGCAUAAAUUAUGCAAAACAUUGCUGGCUAAGGAUGUAGUAACAAUUUAAGUGGUUUGCUUUUCCAGGUCGAAUUACCAAACUCCUCUUUGCUGGUGCAGCACUGUGGAUUAAAUGGCCCACUAACCAAGUUUGCUUUUGCUUUCCUCCUCCUCUUUCAUUUUGUGUGUGUCUCUGGCUCUUUAGGCUUUUUCAAGGGUGACUCUUUUCUUCCCACUAAGAUUAGAAGAUGAAAGGAGAGGAAAGAGACUUGUUUGGAGACCAGGUGCAAUUCUAGCACACCACCAGCUAGCUCUAUGCUCUAAUGACUAGGCCGGUACCCAGCCGUGCUGGGAGGAGGUGGAAUGAAGUAGGCUGCAGGUGGAGCAGGGACUGGUGAUGGCCAUGUCCUCCCUGUCCCCUUUCCGACACCCUUCCCUCUUCCAUCUGCAAAUACCAGGGAAUUGACUGACUUAUAGGUUAUAAGUAAAUGACCCUGCUUGAAUGUGUGUCUCUUUCAGAUCAGAUAGAUGUCUUGGAGCAGAAGCCUCCGCUUAGGUGUGCAGAUGUGUGCAGGUCAUUGGUCUGGUUGGCUGGGCAGAGGCGCACAGGUGCUCUGGGUACCGCUUUACCCUCUCCUCUGUGUGGCAGCCAUCCUCCUCUGAAGCGCCACCCGUUCAUCCAGCCCUUCUGGCCUCCAGCUAUUUCGAGCUGCCUGUUCGUUUUUCUCAGACUUUCCUCUUUCUGACUCAGGUCCCGUGUAUAUCAUGUUUUCAGCAUGAUUUUAUUAUUUUGAAAUGUUUUCACUCCACCAUUCAUCUUCUCAAAGCACAUCUUUCCUCGUCCUAGAUUUCAUCCCGGGACCUUCUUAUAUUUCUAAUUCUGGUUUCCAAGUUCCUGGUGAUCAAGUAUGACACUGAGACACUGAAAUACACCUUAUUCAUUCAUUCAUCAAGGUGUGGUAGGUCUUCAAACAGCCUGGUGUAGUGCAGAGAGUGCUUUUUUUUUUUUUUUUGAGAUGGAGUCUCACUGUAUCACCCAGGCCGGCCUGGAACUCAUGAUCCUUCUGAGUAGCUGGGGUAAUGGGUUGGUGCCCUGCUAGAGUUUUUUUUUUUUUUUUUGGUGGUACCGGGGGUUGAACCUAGGGAUGUUCUUCUACUGAGCUACACCCCCAGCCCUUUUAAUUUUAUUUUUGAAACCUGAUCUUGUUAAUUUGCCUGACUGGCCUUCCUCAGCCUCCCCAGUAGCUGGGUUACAGGCUUGUACAUUGACACCCAGCUAGAGUUCAUUUUGACUCCAGUGAAUAAGCACGCUACUCUUCAAAGAAGGCUGAAUUAGUAAAACCCAGCUUUGCUCAAGUCUGGGUGGAAGAAAGUGUUCUAGUUUCUCUGAGGUGAACUCGGGUUCCCGCCAGUGUUCAGUGGAGGAUUGAGCACUUCUCAUCUGUAAAGGUUUUGAAUGUGAGUUCUGUUGUAUUUGGUGAGGGCUGGGGUGUCAUCAGUCAG